GUCUAUGACCAUACCACUCUGAAUGCGCCCGAUCUCCUCUGAUCUUGGAAGCUAAGUAGGGUUGGGCCUGGUCAGUACUUGGAUGUGAGAAAAGACCAUAUAAAACUAGCUAGUAAAUAACU
ensembl:rRNA 5S_rRNA 5S ribosomal RNA